GCAGCCGCGGUAAUACGAGGGGUGCGAGCGUUGUUCGGAAUCACUGGGCGUAAAGGGAGCGUAGGCGGAAAGUCAAGCGAUCUGUAUAAUUCCGGGGCCCAACUCCGGCCUUGCAGAUCGGACUGUCUUUCUUGAAUAGUUCAGGGGCAAGCGGAAUUCCUGGUGUAGCGGUGGAAUGCGUAGAGAUCAGGAAGAACACCGAUGGCGAAGGCAGCUUGCUGGGGACUUAUUGACGCUGAGGCUCGAAAGUGCGGGUAGCAAACAGGAUUAGAUACCCC
rnacentral:rRNA from 1 species